AUACGGAGGGUGCAAGCGUUACUCGGAAUCACUGGGCGUAAAGCGCAUGCAGGCGGUCUAAUAAGUUGGAAGUGAAAGCCUAUGGCUCAACCAUAGAACUGCUUCCAAAACUGUUAGACUAGAGUCUGGGAGGGGAAGAUGGAAUUAGUAGUGUAGGGGUAAAAUCCGUAGAGAUUACUAGGAAUACCAAAAGCGAAGGCGAUCUUCUGCAACAGUACUGACGCUGAGAUGCGAAAGCGUGGGGAGCAAACAGGAUUAGAAACCCUAGUAGUCC
rnacentral:rRNA from 1 species